GCAAAUAUUCAUCAUCGGAGGUGAGCAGAGCAACCAACAGUGUGAUUAUUUCACAUUUGUGAUGCUGCUGGCAUUGUCUCCAGAUUUCAAGCCAGCCUCCCCGCCCCCUCUUUUUAAAAAGCAUUCUCUCCCUCAGGACUCAGACAGAUGUUUUCAUUUUACUUAAACUGAAAGACUAUUUUCCUCCUCUGCCAGGAACAUGUACCAGUACAAAGUGCUAACCGCGUUUGGAUUUGAACCCCCAUCCUCAAGAGCAACAGGAGGCGGAAGUUCACGCCGUGUCAGCUCAGCUGUGAGAAGUGUUUUAAAUCACACUUUGACGUACAUUACGCUGUUAACUAGACAACGAAGGCCAGCACACAUGCUUCUAGUGCCUCCAAAUCACAUGAUCUCCUCUUUGUCUGGGACAGCUUUUGAUGCAGCUGUGUCGGCUUUUGGAGCCAUUCUCCGCCACGAACCUGCACGGUGGCUCCUGAAGGGGCGCCCCCGCCAGGCCGGGCCUCACCUGCGCGGCGGCAGCGCCUGCGUGACAGCGACCAGGCGCACUAGUCACGCGCUCCCCGAGGCCCAAGCCCAGAGGCUCCGUGUUUCAGCGGCCCGGGCUGCCCAGGAUCACCUUGAGCUCCCGGUCCAGGGCGCCUUGCCCUGGACUAAGUGUCCAGGGCUCCUUGGCCUCCGCGGAAAUGGACCUCAGGCGCGAUUGUGUUGAGCUGGGAAAUAAACCGCCUCGCUCCUCUCCGCAUCCUUGCGCCUCCGCAUCUCUAACCUCACGCUUCCGCGUUGCCGUGUGAGCUGCUGGCUGAGAACAAAAGCUCUAUAAAUUAAGAGGAGUAUGAGCUUCACCCCAGCCUGCCGGGCCCCUCUGCUGGCCUGCCCAGGGCCUCCAGGCCUGCACCGAGGGGCUCCCAGCCACCCAGGGACUGAUGGACUGCAGCUGCCCGGGACAGCAGCCCACGCCGCAGGAAAGGGCGUCUGCAACUGGUCUUGUGUCCCAGAGCACAGAGCAGGAGGGAGGCCCGCAGCAGCCUCCCGCUCCGGACUGUCUGCCCCGCAGCUCCCAGCGGGUGACUCCGGAAGGCGGCACCGAGGGAAUGCUCUCCACUUUGUCCACUGUCAGUGCAAGAGUCAAAAAGGUGCAUGAAGGAACCAGCAGUGGAUGUGGUGCUCACACCUGUAAUCCCAGGCCUGGGAGGCUGAGGCAGGAGGACCUGACUUCAAGGUAAGCCUGGACGACAAGGCGAGAUCCUGCCUCAGAAAACAAACAGCUGCUUUGAGCUUGUUCUUCUAAAGGGAAAAGCUUUCAGCCGAUAUCCAAGAACGCGGGUCUUGGAUAAACUAGAAUAGGUGCAUUCACGAUUAAGGCUGGGCAUAGUUGGUCUGCGCCCCCAGCCUGUGCUGUCUGUUGUCUAGUCAAUGGAACAACAAAGGAAAAAUAUAACCAAAGUCGAACAUGAUUGUUUUCAGAGCCAGCUUCUAAAACUUGAUUUUUUUAAAGGAGAAUAAAG
rnacentral:lncRNA from 1 species